rnacentral:lncRNA from 1 species
AUGUUGUUUCAUAGUAGAUGGGCAAAAUCGGGUAUUCUUAAAACCCGGAACCGGUUCCAACCCGGAACCGGGUAUGGAUACAACUGAGUGGAACCGGGUUCUCGGUGGAACCGGGUCCGGGUACAACCCGGGUACACGUAAAUAAAUAUAGAACCGGCGUAACCGGUUACGGGUUCAAUGGAACCGGGUACGGGUACUGUUUGGAACCGGAACCGGGUCUGUGUCGGGUCCACUGGAAUCGGGUAGGAACCGGUAUUUAUGCCCAUCUGGGGAUGGUGGUGUGGGAAGCAUACGUGAGGUGACGGUCAUAUCGGGCCUCCCGGCCUCCACGAGUACUGAACGGCUGGAGUUGUUGGAUGAUGAGAAGCAUAUUUUGAGCUUUAGAGUGGUGGGUGGUGAGCAUAGAUUGAAUAACUAUCUUUCGGUUACGUCGGUUAAUGAGUUUGAGAAAGAUGGGAAGGUUUAUACGGUGGUGUUGGAGUCUUAUAUUGUUGAUAUACCUGCAUGGGAGUGAAUGACUUUGGAAGAUGGUGUUUUUAUAGCUUUGGAAAAUAGUGUUUUUGAAUUUGUCAGUAAAGGUCAUGCUUUUGUACAGACCUACACCUGAGGUCUAAAAAUAAAAUAGUUUUUAACUCUUCUAUUUUCACCUCACAUAUAUCGACGAAUUUUAUAUUUGUAAAAAAAAACAGUGGGCACAAUGGCACAUGGUUUUAGACUU